rnacentral:rRNA from 1 species
UACGGAGGAUGCGAGCGUUAUCCGGAUUUAUUGGGUUUAAAGGGUGCGUAGGCGGGCUUUUAAGUCAGCGGUAAAAAUUCGGGGCUCAACCCCGUCCGGCCGUUGAAACUGGGGGUCUUGAGUGGGCGAGAAGAAGGCGGAAUGCGUGGUGUAGCGGUGAAAUGCAUAGAUAUCACGCAGAACCCCGAUUGCGAAGGCAGCCUUCCGGCGCCCUACUGACGCUGAGGCAUGAAAGUGCGGGGAUCGAACAGG